CUCAUCUCUACUGAAAAUACAAAAAUUAGUCGGGCUUCGUUGUGCUUACCUGUAAUCCCAGCUACUUGAGAGGCUAAGGCAGGAGAAUCGCUUGAACUCAGGAGGCAGAGGUUGCAGUGAGCCGAGAUUGCACCAUUGCACUCCAGCCUGGGUGACAGCAAGACCCCAUCACAAAAAAAAAAAAAAAAAACAGUAAAAAUUAUCCAUAUGUCUGUCAUUAGAAAGACUCCUGCACAGCCAGUUUAUUUGGAAGGUGACUCCAAGAGGGGAUCAUGGGACCAGGGAGAAUGAGGCGGGGAAGAUUGAAAAGCCCAAUUAAAAAUGGAAGUUGAUCACUCCUGAAAGCAACAGCACUUGAUUCUGCCUCCUGAAUAACUUACAGAAUUGCCCACUGGCGGUCAGGAGGUGGGAGCACAGCCAUUAGAGAGAAACUCUAGAGAAAAAAAGCAAAACAACUCAAGACACAUACUUGAGUCAAGAUGCUGUCAGCACAAGCUGAUUCUACAUUCACGUGGAACUGUCCCCUUCAAGUGUGGCUGACAUCAGAGGUGGCCCAACUGGACAUGUCAUGAGGCUCCUGCUUCCUUGAGCAGGGAGCUUGCUCUUGAGAGAAGUGACUUCAGCUGAGGCAUUUCCCGCAGUGUGGACUGAAAGCUGAGGGUUAUUUGCUGGCAGUACUCCCAGAACUUGACUGGACUCAAACAUCUGGCCUCAAGUGAUCCUCCUGCUUUGGCCUCCUAAAGUGUUGAGAUUACAGACAUGAAUCACCGCACUCAGCCUGAGACAUACUUCUUUAAUUCCUGUAACAUUAUUUUAUGCUUUGAUACCUGAUGGAUAAUGCAGGGCCAAGCUGCACCAUGUUCCUAAGAGAAAGCCAAGAACAUAAGUCACACAAGCCCUCAGGAAGAGAAGGAAAGAAUGAGUGACAGUAGACCGCAGAUGUGAGCAAAUUCAUGGAGGAUGGAAACUGAAUGAGGGAAUGGUGGCUGGCUUAACUUAACAGAGGAAAGUGCAUUCUAAAUACCUAUCAUAAAAGCAACAAAGAGAAUAAGCCUAUCCACUCCACACUUUGGAACUGCCUGUUUAAAAGUUGAUCCCCGGACCCCACCAAGUCUACAAGCUCCACCUCAAGGACAGAAUGGAAACUGUAUUCAUCGAGGGGCUUUUAAUUGACAAAUAAAAAUUGUAUAUAUUUAUCCAUGUAUAAUAUGAAGGUUUGAAAUAUGUAUACACUGGGGAAUGGCUAAAUCAAGCUAACUAACAUCUGCAUUACCUCACAUACUUAUUUUUUGUGGUGAGAACACUUAAAAUCUACUCUCUUAGUAAUUUUCAAGAGUACAAUAUAUUGUUAUUAACUAUAGUCACAAUGUUGUCUAGCAGACCCUUCUCAGAAUCUAACAAAAUGUUUGGCUAGUAAUAGGGGCUCAAAAAGUAUUUGUGAGUGAAAAGAGUGAAUAUAUUAAUUAAUUUGUUAAUGUAUUCACUGGCAGGUGUAUUUACCUAAUUCAGUCUUUAAAAUAAUGUUCUAUAUUCCAAGUUUUCCUUAGGGAGUUAACCCAAUAUUAUAGCUUGAUUGUUUACACAAGACCCAUAAAACAAACUAUAAUAGCAAUAGUCAACAAAGAGAUGAUAUUGGCAUAAUAUAAUGCUAUAUUGGUUUUAUUGUGCUGCCAUAACAAAUUACCAAAAAUUUAGUAUCUUAAAAC
rnacentral:lncRNA from 10 species